UACAGAGGUCUCAAGCGUUGUUCGGAUUCAUUGGGCGUAAAGGGUGCGUAGGCGGCGCGGUAAGUCGGGUGUGAAAUCUCGGGGCUUAACUCCGAAACUGCAUUCGAUACUGCCGUGCUUGAGGACUGGAAAGGAGACUGGAAUUUACGGUGUAGCGGUGAAAUGCGUAGAUAUCGUAAGGAAGACCAGUGGCGAAGGCGGGUCUCUGGACAGUUCCUGACGCUGAGGCACGAAGGUCAGGGGAGCAAACGGG
rnacentral:rRNA from 1 species